AUGAACGCUGGCGGCGUGCCUAAUACAUGCAAGUCGCGCGAACAGACGAGGAGCUUGCUCCUCUGAUGUUAGCGGCGGACGGGUGAGUAACACGUGGAUAACCUACCUAUAAGACUGGGAUAACUUCGGGAAACCGGAGCUAAUACCGGAUAACAUGUUGAACCGCAUGGUUCAACAGUGAAAGACGGUCUUGCUGUCACUUAUAGAUGGAUCCGCGCCGCAUUAGCUAGUUGGUAAGGUAACGGCUUACCAAGGCAACGAUGCGUAGCCGACCUGAGAGGGUGAUCGGCCACACUGGAACUGAGACACGGUCCAGACUCCUACGGGAGGCAGCAGUAGGGAAUCUUCCGCAAUGGGCGAAAGCCUGACGGAGCAACGCCGCGUGAGUGAAGAAGGUCUUCGGAUCGUAAAACUCUGUUAUUAGGGAAGAACAAAUGUGUAAGUAACUAUGCACGUCUUGACGGUACCUAAUCAGAAAGCCACGGCUAACUACGU
rnacentral:rRNA from 1 species